rnacentral:rRNA from 1 species
GACGAACGCUGGCGGCGUGCUUAACACAUGCAAGUCGAACGGAAAGGCCCUGCUUUUGUGGGGUGCUCGAGUGGCGAACGGGUGAGUAACACGUGAGUAACCUGCCCUUGACUUUGGGAUAACUUCAGGAAACUGGGGCUAAUACCGGAUAGGAGCUCCUACUGCAUGGUGGGGGUUGGAAAGUUUCGGCGGUUGGGGAUGGACUCGCGGCUUAUCAGCUUGUUGGUGGGGUAGUGGCUUACCAAGGCUUUGACGGGUAGCCGGCCUGAGAGGGUGACCGGCCACAUUGGGACUGAGAUACGGCCCAGACUCCUACGGGAGGCAGCAGUGGGGAAUAUUGCGCAAUGGGCGGAAGCCUGAUGCAGCAACGCCGCGUGCGGGAUGACGGCCUUCGGGUUGUAAACCGCUUUCGCCUGUGACGAAGCGUGAGUGACGGUAAUGGGUAAAGAAGCACCGGCUAACUACGUGCCAGCAGCCGCGGUGAUACGUAGGGUGCGAGCGUUGUCCGGAUUUAUUGGGCGUAAAGGGCUCGUAGGUGGUUGAUCGCGUCGGAAGUGUAAUCUUGGGGCUUAACCCUGAGCGUGCUUUCGAUACGGGUUGACUUGAGGAAGGUAGGGGAGAAUGGAAUUCCUGGUGGAGCGGUGGAAUGCGCAGAUAUCAGGAGGAACACCAGUGGCGAAGGCGGUUCUCUGGGCCUUUCCUGACGCUGAGGAGCGAAAGCGUGGGGAGCGAACAGGCUUAGAUACCCUGGUAGUCCACGCUGUAAACGGUGGGUACUAGGCGUGGGGUCCAUUCCACGGGUUCCGUGCCGUAGCUAACGCUUUAAGUACCCCGCCUGGGGAGUACGGCCGCAAGGCUAAAACUCAAAGGAAUUGACGGGGCCCCGCACAAGCGGCGGAGCAUGCGGAUUAAUUCGAUGCAACGCGUAGAACCUUACCUGGGUUUGACAUGGAUCGGGAGUGCUCAGAGAUGGGUGUGCCUCUUUUGGGGUCGGUUCACAGGUGGUGCAUGGCUGUCGUCAGCUCGUGUCGUGAGAUGUUGGGUUAAGUCCCGCAACGAGCGCAACCCUUGUUCACUGUUGCCAGCACGUUAUGGUGGGGACUCAGUGGAGACCGCCGGGGUCAACUCGGAGGAAGGUGGGGAUGACGUCAAGUCAUCAUGCCCCUUAUGUCCAGGGCUUCACGCAUGCUACAAUGGCUGGUACAGAGAGUGGCGAGCCUGUGAGGGUGAGCGAAUCUCGGAAAGCCGGUCCCAGUUCGGAUUGGGGUCUGCAACUCGACCUCAUGAAGUCGGAGUCGCUAGUAAUCGCAGAUCAGCAACGCUGCGGUGAAUACGUUCCCGGG